UGCACACUUCCUCCUUGGGGGAGACUUUGGUGUCUGGCAUCAGUUGGUCACUAUUUCUGCUGGUUAGUCAUUGUCAACAACAGCAAUUAUAUAAUCCUGGAGAACUUUCAACUUCUGUUCACACCGCCUUCUGAACCAACAUAGCCAAGAUGAGGAUUCUGGAGCAGGAGAUGAAAUUGUGGUGAGAUUCUUUGAAGGAGUUGCUGAGGUGCUAAUGUGAGGCAGCUGAACGCUCAGACAAUUGAAGCCAAAGCAGAUCCCCAUCCUGGGUUUAUGAUUAAUCAAUCUCCUGUUCAUGUGAACUACAAGGAAAUACACAGAAGUCACAACUUGGACAAAAGUCUUGGACUCAACCAACCUGGAUCUUAUCUCUUGUAUCCUAAUACAUCUCUGCUGCAUCUGUUCCAUAUCCUUAUCAUCUGGAAGAAAGGUAUCCAAAGUUAGCUCUGGAACAACAAGGACAUUGUCUGAGAAUGAGGACGAGACACACUCCUUUGGCAAAAUAUAAGCUGCUCUACACUUUUUCCAGGAUUUCAGCAAAUCGCAUCAAAUCAAUCUCUGCUGUUCUUCUACAGUUACACUCAACUGAGCGUGCUCAGAAGAUCUUUCUCUUUUUCUAUAUCCAUCUACAACUGGCUUCUACGGGAGUAUGGCUCCAUACACAGGAUUGUUUGAAUGAUUUUGUCCUCUUUUGAGUUUAAAAAAUAUUUCUGCAAUAAGAAUAAUUUUGGGGAACUGCCUGGAUACAGGCCCUGAGCCAAUUGUGUUUGAUGGCAAAAGAACCUUGAUGCACUGAUCUGUUUUCAGGGAGUUUAGCAGAGCACAAGAAGGGGUCAUUGCUUGGACAUCAAAUCACAGAUCCAUGAACAAAUACACUUACAUCACUUCUACGCAAACAAAGUAUGCUACACGAUUCUUAUCUGAGUGAAGCUGACAGUGUUAGAAUUGUGCAUCUGCAGCUUAGUAUUUCAAGUUCCUUUCAUCCAAGCUUUUGUUCAGUUUGGGUCCUGGAGGCAAAAUUGUUGGUCCCUAGCCAAGGUGUGGAGAGAGAUUUAGCAAUGUAGAAUAUUGGCUCAGAAGCUAGAUUCUCACAAUCUAAGUUAAAGCGAGUACUAGUGAUAAAAAAGUGUGAGAGGGCAUCACAUGCACUUAUGUCAGUAUGAUCACUUGACACGUCAAGUUUUAUUGUUCACUCAAUCAUGAAAAUUCACACAGAAAAAUAGAGAGGCAUUUACACUGCAUAUAGUACAGAUACAUUUGUUGAUGUAACAGAAUUAAGGGAGCAUAGGGAAAUGAUAGCGUAGCUUUUGGACAACAAAGAUAUAAAAAAAUGACAAUGUUUUAAAACUGCACCAGGAAAAGCUGAACAAUAGAUGGGUCAGUGCCUGAAACAAAAAGACAGAUCAUCAUUGUUGUGAGGCAGAUGAAAUGGUCUGACAAAUGGCUUCACCUGAAAUUUAAAGCUGUUUUUGCUUUCAGACUGACUGGCUGGGCCAUCUCCACCAUUUUCUGUGAAUUAUGUUAUUCUGUAUUUCCUAUUAUUCAAUGGCUCAAUAUUAUACCCUCUACAUCACCAGCUUUGUAUCUUGGGAAGUCACCUAAAUACAUAGCUUUUGAGAUGGAUCAUGUGUACAUGGCUAGCAUACUACAGGCUGAUUCUGUGACCUGUGCUCCAUUUCUUGGGAGGCUCCAUACAGAGCCUUGUAGAACAUGAUGAUUAACUUCUUGUUUCAAUUAAUUUGCAUAAAUCUUAAAUUGUUGGUAGUAAUAUGCACUCAUUAAAGAUUUAUUCAACAGUACUGAGAACAAUCAUUCACAAGCCUGCAGGCCAAUAAAAUUUAACCAGGACAA